rnacentral:lncRNA from 1 species
ACUCUACAGGAUUUGGUGGCCUGUGUGUUGAUGAAUCUCUAACGUCAGUCUCUUUAGAGAAGAAACUGGAAGGGAGACAUGAGAAAUUGGCAGUGGUUUUCCCUUAGUGCUGGAAUUAUGAGUGAGUUUGCUUCCAAGAUGGCCCCCAAUGAUCCUUGCCAGUGGAGUAUUCAUGCCCUUGUGCAAUUCCCUCCCAGACUGAACAAGCUGAUCAAAAUAAUCAACAGGAUACUCGUGGAAAAGAUGGUGCAUGACUUCAAACAUAAAGAUUUGGUAGCUUCUGCCUUGCUCUCUCUUGAGUUGCUCACUCUGGAGUAAGCCAACUGUUGUGUCAUGAGGACACUCAAGCAGCCUGUGGAGAGGCCUGAGAGGAGAGGAACUGAGGACUGCCAAUACCUGACAGAAACGUGCCAGGUAUGUGAGUGAUUCACCUUGGAAAUAGACCUCCAGCCCAGACAAGCCUUCAAACGACCACAUCCCCUGACAUCUUGUCU